UACGAAGGGGGCUAGCGUUGCUCGGAAUUACUGGGCGUAAAGCGCACGUAGGCGGAUUGUUAAGUCGGGGGGUGAAAUCCUGGAGCUCAACUCCAGAACUGCCUUCGAUACUGGCGAUCUCGAGUUCGGGAGAGGUGAGUGGAACUGCGAGUGUAGAGGUGAAAUUCGUAGAUAUUCGCAAGAACACCAGUGGCGAAGGCGGCUCACUGGCCCGAUACUGAC
rnacentral:rRNA from 1 species